GGUGUGAGUCCUCAGCGUUUUGGCCUUAAGUGGACAGGCCUGCCCCUCUUCUGCCUGACCUUCUGCUGUCUACGUUCUGCAGGUGAGUGGAGAGUAUCCUGUUCACUGGCUGCGUCUGGCUGAAGGGCUUCAGCUGUGUCUGGGGUGCUCUGCAGCUGAGGGGGAGAAGGAGCUGGGUUCUCAGGAGUUUCCUCUGUUUCUCCUUCUGGGUCCGCUGCUGUAACUCCCGAGUCAUCCUCAUCUGAUGAGUCCUCUGACGGGGCCAUGACAAGAAGAAGGAGGUGGCGUCCUGGAUCGGGUCAUCUGAGCCAUGUCAGCGGGGAACGCGGAGCAGCGAGAACAUGGGGCCUCGGGAGGGCGUCGCAGCAAAUGGGACCAGCCUGGACCAUCUCCGGCUCUCUUCCUUCUUCCUGCAACCACUCCUGCGGCGGGCCACCCCGUCCAGGGCAGCGGAGACAGUGUAUCUGGGAUGUCAGGGUCUGAGGGCUCAGCAGCCCCUCUGGGAGCUCUGGAUGCAGCUGCUGCAGUAGCAGCCAAAAUCAAUGCCAUGUUAAUGGCCAAAGGGAAGCUGUAACCAGCAGACAAGAUCAAAGAACGUAAUUAGCCCAUUCUAUCAAUUUUGGGAAGAGGCGUGUGCUGAGGACCUCAUCGAGGCUACAGGCGCCACUAAUGAGUGCAAAGGUGAAGAGGAAGAUGACUUUUUCAAAGGCAAAACUCCUCAAAAUGAAGGCAUGAUUGGAUUGAUGCCAGGCUCCUUCAACUCUACUCUUCAGAGUUCAGAACAUUGCCUAGGGUCGCCGCCAAUAAUCUCUCUGUAGAUGCCACUCUGACGUUCCAAGAUCACGCAGAUGAAGUCUUUGGGCAAUCAUUUUGAUAGAGAGCGCUCCCUUUUUUUUUAGCAGUUCCUAAACUGUUGAUUUCAUGAACAAUGUUGGUGGCAAAAUUGAAACAAGUGUUAGAAAAUGAUCUUCAACUUGGUUGUGUCUGAAAAGGGGGUGCUUGUAUCAUUUUUUACCAUAUGUAAAAUAAGGUCUAUGGAGAAGUGUCUUUUAGCGUUAUUUCUCAUUUCGGUGUUUCGAUUUGGAAUGGCUCACCUAAUAUAUUAAAUAUA